rfam:Lupinus angustifolius cultivar Tanjil chromosome LG05, whole genome shotgun sequence.
GAACUGUGAUGAUUCUUUGUGCAGUUUGUGUUAGAUGGGUCUUUCACUAACGUCCUUCGACGAAACAAGCACAUCUGAGUUC